AUUGAACGCUGGCGGCAGGCCUAACACAUGCAAGUCGAACGAGUGGCGGAAGGGUGAGUAAUGUCUGGGAAACUGCCUGAUGGAGGGGGAUAACUACUGGAAACGGUAGCUAAUACCGCAUACCAUCGGAUGUGCCCCGAUGGCAUUAGCGAGUAGGUGGGGUAAAGGCUCACCUAGGCGAAGAUCCCUAGCUGGUCUGAGAGGAUGACCAGCCACACUGGAACUGAGACACGGGCCAGACUCCUACGGGAGGCAGCAGUGGGAAAUAUUGCACGAUGGGCGAAAGCCUGAUGCAGCAAUGCCGCGUGUAUGAAGAAGGCCUUCGGGUUGUAAAGGUCUUUCAGCGGGGAGGCGUUACCCGCAGAAGAAGCACCGGCUAACUCCGUGCCAGCAGCCGCGGUAAUAC
rnacentral:rRNA from 1 species